UGGGCACCAGGUGUCUGCACGGUACAGAGAGGGACUGACGGUGCCUCUUGUCCCUUUCAGAGUCUGCCCCAGUUGUGCGGUGCAGGGGACGGCCAGGCAUUCACAAGCACCCUGCAGCAUCUCUACAUGGCCGUGGCCAGGCAGGAGGCGAGGGCAGCGCAGAAGCGGCACCACUCAGGGGAUGCCGAGACCCCAGAGCUCACCUCGUCUCCCCAGCUGGCUGGGGAGGCCAUGGACUCAUUGGUCACACUGGGUUCUCAGCAGGAAAAGGCUGAGCCACCCUCUGACCUGCCCCAGAGCCUGGGAGCCACAGCGACUCCCUCCUCUCCAGCCCAGAGAGCCCGACUGCCCGUGUCCAAGGCCAAGAGGAAGAAGGCAAAGGGGCUGUUCGGCUGACACACCGCUGCCCGUCCCCCUUGCCGUGGGAAGGGGUCUGGC
rnacentral:lncRNA from 1 species